rnacentral:misc_RNA from 1 species
GAUGAAGAACGCAGCGAAAUGCGAUAAUUAAUGUGAAUUGCAGAAUUUAGUGAAUCAUCGAAUCUUUGAACGCACAUUGCGCCCCCUGGUAUUCCGGGGGGCAUGCCUGUUCGAGCGUCAUUUCACCACUCAAGCCUCGCUUGGUAUUGGGCAACGCGGUCCGCCGCGUGCCUCAAAUCGUCCGGCUGGGUCUUCUGUCCCCUAAGCGUUGUGGAAACUAUUCGCUAAAGGGUGUUCGGGAGGCUACGCCGUAAAACAACCCCAUUUCUAAGGUUGACCUCGGAUCAGGUAGGGAUACCCGCUGAACUUAAGCAUAUCAAUAAGCGGAGGA